rnacentral:misc_RNA from 1 species
UCCGGUUUGGCACCGGCAGUCUCCCUAGAGUGCCCGGCAUAACCCGCUGGUAACUAGGGACGAGGGUUGCGCUCGUUGCGGGACUUAACCCAACAUCUCACGACACGAGCUGACGACAGCCAUGCAGCAUCUGUGCGCGCUCCCUUGCGGGUCCUCCCCCUUUCGGGGUCGUACCACGCGCAUGUCAAGCCCAGGUAAGGUUCUUCGCGUUGCGUCGAAUUAAACAACAUGCUCCGCUGCUUGUGCGGGUCCCCGUCAAUUCCUUUGAGUUUUAGCCUUGCGGCCGUACUCCCCAGGCGGGGUGCUUAAUGCGUUAGCUUCGGCACGGAGGGAAUCGACACCCCCCACACCUAGCACCCAUCGUUUACGGCUGGGACUAC